rnacentral:tRNA from 1 species
GCAAUAAAGCGGUCACUAAUUGGCUGAAAUUUGCGGAAAUUAGGGACGUAGAGGGACGUGGAGAGAUGCUUUUUACAGCUUCUCGAAAUCAGUUUGCGCUCACGCGCACGAGGGUUCGAAUCCCUCUCUCUGCGCCA